GUUCCCAGCAGCCUUGAGACCUCCCCCAGUAUAUGUCUUUUUUUCCUCAAAAAGAAGAGACGAGGAGGAGGAAAAAGUCAGUUGCUUCGACUUGAAAGUCAGUGCUAAAGGAGGCAUUAGAAAAGCCUUUCUUGUGGCUCAGAGCCCUGAUUACCACAAUUAAAGCCCAAGGUGUGGUGCUAUUUGCUCAGCAUGCUCUGACACAUGAAAGCAAAUGAUUCAGGCAAGGAAAAUAAUUAUACAUUAAUUUGUGUUUGGCAACUGUGUUUUAUUCCUUUGGCCCACAAAGCGAAGAUAAAAGGUGAUAUUAUUGAAAGUGUUUUCUCUGCCUUCAGUGGGGUUGCCAUGGGCUGCGUUUGGAGACAGGCGUCUUCGGUUUCCUGCAGACGUGGCCGGGUGGAAAGGAAAAAGGGACCCUCUGUAAGGAGAGAGCUCCAGUCCCCAUCCUGGGGGCAGUCACCCCAUAUCAAGGUAUUGCAUUGGGCAUAAAGGGACAGAUGAGGAAGGCCCACCCACCCAGCCAUGUAUGGAGGCUGGUG
rnacentral:lncRNA from 1 species